CAUUUUUCACAUUAAAAAAACCAAAAUUGGCCAAAAUUUUCACUUUUUUUUGGAGUAGAUCCUUGAAACUUUCCAGAUUAUUAUAAUUAAUGAUUUCCUUACUGGUAGUUUUUAAAUCAACUCUCUACAUACAGUAGAACAGAAAUUGUCCCCCAAAAGCAACAUUUUUCACCUGAAAAAAACCAAAUUUGGCCAAAAUUUUCACUUUUUUUUGGAGUAGGUACUUGAAACUUUCCAGAUUAUUAUAAUUAAUGAUUUUCUUACUGGUAGUUUUUAAAUCAACUCUCUACGUACAGUAGAACAGAAAUUGUUCCCCAAAAGCAACAUUUUUCACCUGAAAAAAACCAAAUUUGGCCAAAAUUUUCACUUUUUUUUGGAGUAGAUCCUUGAAACUUUCCAGAUUAUUAUAAUUAAUGAUUUCCUUACUGGUAGAUUUUAAAUCAACUCUCUAAGUACAAUAGAACAGAAAUUGUCCCCCAAAAGCAAAGUUUUUCACAUGAAUAAACCCAAAAUUUACCAAAAUUUUCACUUUUUUUUGGAAUAGGUCUUUGAAACUUUCCAGAUUAUUAUAAUUAGUGAUUUCCUUACUGGUAGUUUUUAAAUCAACUCUCUACGUACAGUAGAACAGAAAUUGUUCCCCAAAAGCAACAUUUUUCACCUGAAAAAAACCAAAUUUGGCCAAAAUUUUCACUUUUUUCUGGACUAGGUCGUUGAAACUUUCCAGAUUAUUAUAAUUAAUGAUUUCCUUACUGGUAGUUUUUAAAUCAACUCUCUAAGAAUAAUAGAACAGAAAUAGUCCUCCAAAAGCAACAUUUUUCACCUGGAAAAAACCAAAUUUGGCCAAAAUUUUCACUUUUUUUUGGAGUAGAUCCUUGAAACUUUCCAGAUUAUUAUAAUUAAUGAUUUCCUUACUGGUAGUUUUUAAAUCAACUCUCUACAUACAGUAGAACAGAAAUUGUCCCCCAAAAGCAACAUUUUUCACCUGAAAAAAACCAAAUUUGGCCAAAAUUUUCACUUUUUUUUGGAGUAGGUCUUUGAAACUUUCCAGAUUAUUAUAAUUAAUGAUUUCCUUACUGGUAGUUUUUAAAUCAACUCUCUACGUACAGUAGAACAGAAAUUGUCCCCCAAAAGCAACAUUUUUCACCUGAAAAAAACCAAAUUUGGCCAAAAUUUUUACUUUUUUUUGGGGUAGGUCUUUCAAACUUUCCAGAUUAUUAAAAUUAAUGAUUUCCUUACUGGUAGUUUUCAAAUCAACUCUCUAAGUACAACAGAACAAAAAUUGUCCCCCAAAAGCAAACUUUCCCAGACAUUCCCUAAAAAUCACUGCAUCAUCACAUAACACCAACCCUCUACAUUCGCCAUUAGUUACCAAAGUUACGUUAAUUUAACAGGGUGUAAAUAAUAGAAAGUUACCGUUAGGUUCGGUUAUAGUACAAAACAGUUGAGACUGACGAGCAUAAUAAUAAGUGCCUUAAAAUCAUGGAUAAGUCGGUUUAACGUGGCUUAUUUGUCGCUUCGCUUUGGGUGUGUCGUCCGCGCGACUCGCCCUGUAUAAAUUUCAAAUUUUUCAGGUAGACCCCACGGCCUAAAACCCUAUAGGAAUCUGAUUUAUUUCGUUCUUCUUCUCCCCAUUCUCGGGAUGUUCGGCAAAGAUCUUUGCGCGUGUUUGUUUGACUGAAUCGGUGAUUAUUGUCAGUUUUAAGCCAAAUUUUGCUCAAAUUAGUUUAGGGCCAACGGGGCCGAGGGAGCGGGGUUAACUUAGUAGUUACCAGUGGUUUUUUUUAUUUAAGACAAUUAUCUCAAAUAUUGUGGCCAAAUAGGGACAUGAAACCGCCAUCCCCAAAAAACACGAAAAAUAAAUUCUAAGAACCGUGAUUAGAAUAUGCCAAGGAAUGUUAAAUGAACGUGUUUAUGGGGACUAAGUUUUUAUUCCCAUAAAAUAGUUAGUCAAAUAGUCUUAACCUAGUCAUUGUUUUUUUUUUAUUUUACUUUCCCAAUAUAUCAUUUUGUUAACUUUC